rnacentral:ncRNA from 1 species
UUUCUUCAGGGCAGGGUGAGAUUCCCGACCGGCGGUAAAGUCCGCGAGCCAAAGUGCAUGAUCCGGUGAAACUCCGGAACCGACAGUACAGUCUGGAUGAGAGGAGGA